AUAGAUCACUAAGGGCUUUUCAAGGUUGUAGCUUGGUCGGGUUUCACAACAAAUGGCCAUUUCUGAGGUUUUUGAAACGAAGUUGCCAAACUCAAAAAGAAAAUUCAUUUCUCAUUAUGUUUCACAACUCUAUUCACCAUUUUUUCUUUCCUAAAUUGCUCCACCCUUUAUCACACUUUCUUAGCACAAUUAUUUUUCACCUUUUCUUUCAAACAAGUCUCUUUCUUUUUCUUUCUUUUUUCAAGUUCUUAUUUAUAAUUUCUUUCUCUUUCCAUUCUUCUUCAAACCAUAGAAACCUAGCAUUUCUUUCUUCUCCCCAACUUGAAUACAAUCAACCCUAUAUGAAU
rnacentral:lncRNA from 1 species